CUUGCUGGGGGUCCACUCCAGACCCUGUUCGCCUGGGUAUCACCAGUGGAGUUUGCAGAACAGCAAAGAUUGCUGCUUGCUCCUUCCUCCAGAAGCUUCUUCCCACAGUGGCAUCAACCUGAUUGAUGUCAGCCGGAACUCUCCUGCAUGAGGUGUCUGGCGACCCCUGAUGGGAAGUCUCACCCAGUCAAGAAGCACGGGACUGGAAGGGGGGCCUCCUUACGGAGGCAGACUGACUGUCCCUUAGCAGAGCUGGUGCACUGUAUUGGAGGAAUAACCCUCCUUGGGAUCAGCUGGUCUCUUCAGAGCCAGCAGGCAGGAAAGAUUAAGUCUGCUGAACCUCGGACCAUGGCCGCCGCUCCCCCGAGGUGCUCUGUCCCAGGGAGAUUAGAGUUCUUGUCUGUAAGCCCCUGACUGUAGCUACUGGAAUUCCUGCAGGGAUGCCCUCCAGGUGAGGAGGGAUGGCUUCGGGUCCCACCUAGGAAGCAGUCUGGCCACGAUCUGCAACAGCCACUUUGCUGCGUUGUGGGGAAUUCCACCCAGUCCAAACCUCCUAGUCUCCUUAGCACUGUCAGGGGAAAACCUCCAACUAAAGCCUCAGUAAUGACGGUCGCCCCUCCCCCUGGGAACUGAGUUGUCCCAGGCGGACUCCAGACUGCUGUGCCGGCAGCGGGGAUUUCAAGCCAGUGGUUCUUAGCUUGCGGGGUUUCCGUGGGAGUGGGACCCUCUGAGCGAGACCACUUGGCUCCCUGGCUACAGCCCCCUUUCCACAGAAGUGGACAUUUCUCCUGCCUCACUGGAGUUCCAGGUGCUGCCGGAGUAUGUAAAAAUUCCUGCAGCUCAGUGCCUGCCCAAACAGCCGCCGACGGGAGCAGCUGUCAUUGGUCUGCCCAGUUUUGUAUUUGAGACCCAGGGCACUGGUGGUUGUAGGCUCCCGAGGGGAUCUGCUGAUCUGUGGAUUGCAAAAAUCUGUGGGAAAAGCUUAGUACCCUUGGUGGGUAGCACUGUCCCUCACCACUUCCCUUGGCUGGGGAGGGAGGUCCCCCUGCCCUGUGCAGUUCCUGGGUGAAGCAAUACCCUGCUUCUUCUCGCUCUCUGUGGGUCAUGCCGACCAUCUAGUCAGUCCCAGUGAGAUGAACUGGGUAUCUCAGUUGGAAAUGCAGAAAUCACCCACAUUCCUCGUUCCUCUCGCUGGCAGCUGCAGACCAGAGCUGCUUCUAGUCGGCAGUCUUGGCCCCUCCCCGCCGAGAAGAUGAGGUCUCACUGUGUUGUCCAGGCUCAUCUCAAACUCCCAGACUCCAGUGAUCCUCCUGCCUCAGCCUCCCAAAAUGCUGGAAUCACAAGCUUGAGCCAUCACCUUCAGCCCAUAUCAUCUUAACAUCCAAUAGGAACAGUCAACUGACCCACUGGGAAUGUGACCUUGUGAAUCACCCAGAAAUGAGGUGUCUGACAUCCUGAGACCUGGACCCAUUUCAAGGAGCUUUGGGAAGAGCCCAGAUCACUGAUGGAAUUGGACAGUGCGUGGAAAUGGUUCAGCAGGACGAGGUCGAUACAGAAAAAACUGCAGAAGACCCAGAGGGAUAUCAUAGCAGACUAAAAGUUUGCUAUCUUUCACUUGUGGAAAAGCAUUAAGAUCAUUUUACCUUAAAAAGAAGGUGAGGUGACUUGAUGACUACCACUAAGAAAAUAUAACCUUCUGGAAAACUAUCCCUACCUUGAUGAUUUUAUACACACAAGAGAUGAACAAUGAGGAAUAUGCUUAUAUGUAUUGAGAAAGAGGUGGGCCUGUAGCAUUGUCACAAGGGUGCACAAAUACUGAGAGUGACUGCUGAAGAAAUGGUCCCCAUCAGUGACCCUCAGGUGAGACCAGGGGGCCUA